rnacentral:rRNA from 1 species
GAUGAACGCUGGCGGCGUGCCUAAUACAUGCAAGUCGAGCGAACAGACGAGGAGCUUGCUCCUCUGACGUUAGCGGCGGACGGGUGAGUAACACGUGGAUAACCUACCUAUAAGACUGGGAUAACUUCGGGAAACCGGAGCUAAUACCGGAUAAUAUAUUGAACCGCAUGGUUCAAUAGUGAAAGACGGUUUUGCUGUCACUUAUAGAUGGAUCCGCGCCGCAUUAGCUAGUUGGUAAGGUAACGGCUUACCAAGGCAACGAUGCGUAGCCGACCUGAGAGAGUGAUCGGCCACACUGGAAGUGAGACACGGUCCAGACUCCUACGGGAGGCAGCAGUAGGGAAUCUUCCGCAAUGGGCGAAAGCCUGACGGAGCAACGCCGCGUGAGUGAUGAAGGUCUUCGGAUCGUAAAACUCUGUUAUUAGGGAAGAACAAAUGUGUAAGUCACUAUGCACGUCUUGACGGUACCUAAUCAGAACGCCAAGGCUAACUACGUG